AGUGAACGCUGGCGGUAGGCCUAACACAUGCAAGUCGAACGGCAGCACAGUAAGAGCUUGCUCUUACGGGUGGCGAGUGGCGGACGGGUGAGGAAUACAUCGGAAUCUACUUUUUCGUGGGGGAUAACGUAGGGAAACUUACGCUAAUACCGCAUACGACCUACGGGUGAAAGCAGGGGAUCUUCGGACCUUGCGCGAUUGAAUGAGCCGAUGUCGGAUUAGCUAGUUGGCGGGGUAAAGGCCCACCAAGGCGACGAUCCGUAGCUGGUCUGAGAGGAUGAUCAGCCACACUGGAACUGAGACACGGUCCAGACUCCUACGGGAGGCAGCAGUGGGGAAUAUUGGACAAUGGGCGCAAGCCUGAUCCAGCCAUACCGCGUGGGUGAAGAAGGCCUUCGGGUUGUAAAGCCCUUUUGUUGGGAAAGAAAAGCAGCAGGUUAAUACCCCGCUGUUCCGACGGUACCCAAAGAAUAAGCACCGGCUAACUUCCUG
rnacentral:rRNA from 1 species